ACUUUUAAGGUCAGUGAAGCUGAAGCCUCACUUCCAUGAUGUCCACCUCCAAGACAUUUUAUAUAUUACUGCCUAAUGAUAAAAAAAUACAGUCUGGUAGAGAUAUGGAAAGUUGAGGAAGUCUACCCCAGAAAAAAAUCAGUGCCUGCAGAGUUCAUCCAAAAUUCUGAUUGAAGCAUGUUUAUAGGCAUCAAAUUUGCCUCUUUGGGGCGUGCUAGCAGUGGUAGUCACGUCAGACACCACUAGUGCUCAGGGAGAAAUGUGCUGAGGGAGAGAAAUGAAGGGCAGAGAUCUGGAAUGCAGAGGGAAAGUAUCUAAUCAGAAAUAACAGCUCUCAUCAGGCACAGACAAUAGACAGUAAACUGGCUUCAGGAGAGCUAUUCAGGCAUCAUGGAAGCCAAAUCAACAGACAGAAGGUGAGGAUGAUUUCUGUGAGGGCUAAAGCUGUGCUGGGAGAGCCACCAGAAGCAGGAAGAAACUUCCAGUUCUCAGGUCUUCCCAUUCUUUGGAGAGCACACCAUGCCUGAAGUGAUUGUGAAGAGCACAUCAAACAAACUAAAAAACAAGAGAAACCAAAGCCAUUGAAGUUCUACCCGGAUUCCUAGUGGAGAUGUGAAGGACUGGGAGAGUUGCAAAUGGACAGGAUAACCUGAGCAUUUUCUACUGUCUGUAAGCUAAAAAACUUGAUGGAACAUUGUGUGAGCUCCUGAACAAGGCAAGCUUUGUUCAGUGGUGCUUUUUAGUUAGAGAUGUGCUGAUGAUGGCUUCAAUGUGGUUGACAUCUGGCUGCUGGAAAGGGCUAAAAUGUGUUAUUACCCU
rnacentral:lncRNA from 1 species